AGANACGCUGGCGGCAUGCCUAACACAUGCAAGUCGAACGAGACCUUCGGGUCUAGUGGCGCACGGGUGCGUAACGCGUGGGAAUCUGCCCCUUUGGGUUCGGAAUAACUUCGGGAAACUGAAGCUAAUACCGGAUGAUGACGUAAGUCCAAAGAUUUAUCGCCCAAGGAUGAGCCCGCGUAGGAUUAGCUAGUUGGUGAGGUAAAGGCUCACCAAGGCGACGAUCCUUAGCUGGUCUGAGAGGAUGAUCAGCCACACUGGGACUGAGACACGGCCCAGACUCCUACGGGAGGCAGCAGUGGGGAAUAUUGGACAAUGGGCGAAAGCCUGAUCCAGCAAUGCCGCGUGAGUGAUGAAGGCCUUAGGGUUGUAAAGCUCUUUACCCGGGAUGAUAAUGACAGUACCGGGAGAAUAAGCUCCGGCUAACUCCGUG
rnacentral:rRNA from 1 species